AUGGCGGCGACCUCGCCCCGCGGCGGCGGCGGCGGCUGCGGCGGCUACAGUUCCCGGGCCUCCGAUCGCCGCCGCGCCGCACACCGUCGCGCCCCGGGCCCUUCCGCCAUGUUCCGGCAAACUUCGCUCGGCCCCGCGAGCCGUCUCCCCUCCGCGCCGCCAGCUACCCGCUCCGGCUCCCACCGCGAGCCGCGGUCACCUGCUGCGCCCGGCGGCCACGCCGCCGUGCGCGCCCCUCCCGGCGCCGCCUCGGCCCCUCCCGCUGGCCGCGCCCUCCGCCCGCCGAGGCCGCCUCCGCGCCGCGAUCCGCGGGCGCCCGCCAGCCAAGGUCUCCGCGCUCUCCCGGGCCCAGGCCGGCUCCGCCUUGCACAUUUCCCGGGAGCAAUUUCCCAGCACAGACUGGGGUCUGACUUCACACCUUCCUCAGCAAUUCUCCAUGAGGACCAUUAGGAGCUUAAGUAUUUUGCACAAAGUUACUUCAGUCACCUGUAUUUUUGAGAAAAUUGGAUGAGUGACAUUCUCUAACCACAGGUGAUGGGCUGGAUUUGGUUUGAAGGUCAUAAUUUGCCACCCCCUGCUCUGUACUGUGACUGCUACCCUUUGAAGUCUGUGGAGGAGGGGAGAAAAGGAAGGGGGAAAGGGUCUCCAGGAGAAGAGGCAGGGAACAAGGGAGGCACCAAUGUGGGACUUACCCACCAGAAGUCUGUCACAUAAGGACUUGGGAGAAGCUUCUGGAAGAAAAGUCAUUAGGAGAGAAGAACUCCAAGUAGUGAAGGUUGCCUUAGAAGUCAGAGGACAGGACACUCUAACAACAUUUUCUGGCCCUCAAGAAUUCUCUGAAAUAUUUAUUUAUUUUAAAAUCUUUUGGCCAUAUAUUGCAUGGCAUGCAGUAGGCGGGAUCUUAGUUCCCUGACCAGAGAUGGAACCUGUCCCAUGCAGUGGAAGCAUGGAGUCUCAACCACUGGACUACCUGGGAAGUCCCAAAACUUACUCAUCUUACAACUGAAGUUUGAACCCUUUGACCAACAUCUCCCCAUUUCCCACAUCCCCCAGCUCCUGACAACCACCAUUCUACUCUGUUUCCAUGAGUUCUUUUCUUUAAGCUCCACAUGAGUGAGAUCAUAUAGUGCUUGUCCUUCUCUGUCUGACAUAGUUUACUUAGCAAAAUGCCCUGAAGGUCCAUUCAUGUAGCUAGAAAUGGCAGGAUUUCCAUCUUUCUCAUGGUUGAGUAAUAUUCCAUUGUCGAUAUAUACCAGAUUUUCUUUAUUUGUUAAUCUCUUAAUGGAAACUUCGGUCAUUUCCAUACUUUGGCUAUGGAGUAUAAUGCUGCAGUCAACAUGGGGGCUCAUAGAUCUCUUAGAUAUCCUGUUUUUAUUUCUUCCAGAUAAACAUAUGGGUGAUAUUCUUAACUGCUUUUAUCUUCAUGAGUUCAAUGGGAUUUGGACAAUUAUUUGCUGUCUUUAACUGGUCCUUGGCCUCAGAAUUCAUGUUUUUGAAUGUCAGCUCCUUUUAUCCUCUUGAGAGAACUUACAUUUAAAAGAGUUGUUAU